GGCCACAACCAUAUCACCCUACAGCCCAAGACUGGUUACUUAAUUAAAGCCAAGCAGGGCAGAGCCUGUUAAGUACAUGGAUGGGAGACCACAUGGGAAAACUAGGUUGCUAUUGGAG
ensembl:rRNA 5S_rRNA 5S ribosomal RNA